GCUGCCUCUAGCCAUUGCAGGUAUAGCUGCUGUGUCACAUUGCAUCAGUAAGAGACAGAGAGGAGAGAAGCUAUGUCUAUGCUCAGUGUUCUGACCUGUGAACGUCUGAAUGAUGAGUAGCCUAACCUU